GCAGCAGGCGCGCAAAUUACCCACUCCCGGCACGGGGAGGUAGUGACGAAAAAUAACGAUACGGGACUCAUCCGAGGCCCCGUAAUCGGAAUGAGAACACUUUAAAUCCUUUAACGAGUAACAAUUGGAGGGCAAGUCUGGUGCCAGCAGCCGCGGUAAUUCCAGCUCCAAUAGCGUAUAUUAAAGUUGUUGCGGUUAAAAAGCUCGUAGUCUAAAUUGUGUCUCGCGCCGCCGGUUCAUCGUUCGCGGUGUUAACUGGCGUGCCGUGGGACGUCCUGCCGGCGGGCUUAGCUCGAGAGGGCGGCCCGACACGGUCCCGCCGCGGUGCUCUUCAUUGAGUGUCGAGGUGGGCCGGCACGUUUACUUUGAACAAAUUAGAGUGCUUAAAGCAGGCCGAAAUAUUGCCUGAAUAUUGUAUGCAUGGAAUAAUGAAAGAGGACCUCGGUUCUUUUUUGUUGGUUUUCAGAACCACGAGGUAAUGAUUAACGGAAACGAAUGGGGGCAUUCGUAUUGCGACGUUAGAGGUGAAAUUCUUGGAUCGUCGCAAGACGGACAGAAGCGAAAGCAUUUGCCAAAAACGUUUUCAUUGAUCAAGAACGAAAGUUAGAGGUUCGAAGGCGAUCAGAUACCGCCCUAGUUCUAACCAUAAACGAUGCCAACUAGCGAUCCGCCGACGUUCCUCCGAUGGCUCGGCGGGCAGCUUCCGGGAAACCAAAGCUUUUGGGUUCCGGGGGAAGUAUGGUUGCAAAGCUGAAACUUAAAGGAAUUGACGGAAGGGCACCACCAGGAGUGGAGCCUGCGGCUUAAUUUGACUCAACACGGGAAACCUCAUCAGGCCCAGACACCGUAAGGAUUGACAGAUUGAGAGCUCUUUCUUGAUUCGGUGGGUGGUGGUGCAUGGCCGU
rnacentral:rRNA from 1 species